UCUUGCUCGAACUUUAACCCAGUAAGAAGCAUCUUUUCUUCAGGGCGUCCCCACUCUGCUCAAAGAGAGAAACAGAGGCUGAGACAUCGUGGCCUCACGUGAACUCUCCUUGAGGCCCACAGUGAAGAAAACAUGUUUUGCUGCCAGCGUCGUUGGACUUUGAUGCGUACUCGGAGCUGAUGGACAGGCUGUUUCUCUGCCCCCAAGUGGCCGAAAGCAUCAAUUAACGUGACUUUAACCGUCCUCUUCUGCAUCCAAAUCACACCCAGGUUUCAUGAACUCAAACCAGAUGUUCAGAGGGAGAUGAUGCCACAUCUGGUCCAGCUGAUGGAAGGUCUUGAAGUUCACUGACUGACCUCGACUGAAGAUGGUCGUCUCACUGGAUUUAAGGUUCAGAUGCUCAGUAACAAACUCCACCAAUGAGCCAACAGGGAAGCUUUAGGUUUAUUAAAUGUUGCUAUGAAGGUAUCGCUGUUUUUCUUUGUGAAUGCAAUGUGUUCCAACUGAAACUUGAAUUAGAAC
ensembl:lncRNA